UUUAGUCUAUUCGAUAGUCUCUUACUACUAGGAUACCCGUAGUAAUUCUAGAGCUAAUACUUGCGUANACACUCGACUUUUGGAAGAGUGGUAUUUAUUAGAUUGAAACCAACCUGUUUCGGCAGUGUACUGGUGAUUCACAAUAACUUUGCGAAUCGCAUGGCUUUUGCCGGCGAUAGAUCGUUCGAGAUUCUGCCCUAUCAGCUUUGAUGGUAGUGUAUUGGACUACCAUGGCUUUAACGGGUAACGGAGGAUUAGGGUUUGAUUCCGGAGAGGGAGCCUGAGAGACGGCUACCACA
rnacentral:rRNA from 1 species